ensembl:lncRNA
GUAUGUGUGAGUGUUUGUGUGUGUGUGUGUAUGUGUGUGUGAGUGAGUGUGUCUGUGUAUGUGUGCGUAUGUGUGUGUGUAUGUGUUUGUGUGUGUGUCUGCACUGUAUAUAUAUGUGUAUGUGUUUGUGUGUGUGUGUGUGUGUGUCUGCCUGUGUCUCUGUCUGUGUCUGUGUGUAUGUGUGUGUGUGUGUGUGUGUGUGUGUGUGUGUGUGUGAGAGAGAGAGAGAGUGUGUGUGUGUGUGUGUGUAGCCUAUCAUCUCAUACACCUUGGGCAAGGCUUUAUCUUGAAAGAACCUCAGAUGAUUCUGGGACAGAUCAAGGCCAGAUAGACUAUGGCAAGGGUCACAUUUUGGAAGAAUACAAACGGCUUCAAUUCAAUAAAAACCAGUGGUGGUGCACCUACAUAAGCAAAAGAAAAGCCUUCUGAAUAAAAGUCACACAUGAAUAAAAGUCACAAGAUUAGAUUAGAGUGGGAGUUAUCUGUGCGACAGAGGGCUGUAGACUAACACUAAAUUCCCAGCUUUUGUAAUUUCUAUUUGACUAACAGAAAUGUCACAAACAGACUCACAAACAUUAUAGAACUGUUGUCAAUGGCCGUACGACUGUUUUUCAAGGUUUAGCAAGCUGAACCUUAUAUCAUAACAUCACCUACACAUACACCUUAUUUUACCCAGUCAUUAAUUUACAUGCCCUUGACAAGUAGGGUUAUAUAGUUAGUAAUGUUACACUGAAGUUAUACAGCCAGCUAGCUAGCUGAAUGUUAACGUUACCAGCUGAAUUCAUCCUCAACCUUGGGAUAUUGGAGGUGAAUUUGGUUGGUAAUGUACAUAUUUUCAACAUCAGUGAGUUGGAUACUUGUAUUUCUUAUAGUUUCUACAUUUUCUUUAAAGUUAUUGAUUUUUGUUUGUGUUCCUAAUAAAAUUUUGGAUCCUGAAAAUUUCCCUUUAAGCUUUAAGCAUUUUUUCCUCAAUGGUGAGUUUUUCAAUGAUGGAUGUCAACACCUCAAACACGUCUUUAUAAAUAGACCUCCUCACAAAUGUGUAAUCUGGUUAAUUACAUUUUUGGUUAUUGUGAUAGAAACAGUUUUUUUCCCGGAGAUUUUAAUUGUUAAAAUGAAACAUGUUUCAUGUUAUUGUGACAGGCAAAAUAAAAGAUGUUUGCGAGUAUGCUUCCAUUUGAAAUAAAUCAUGUCUUUUUCAUGAGCCUGCGCUGUGGGCGUGAUCAGAGUGCGUUGGGGAGAAUACACAGAACUAAAAUGUGCCUAACUGGAGGUGUGCAAAAAAGGAUUUACGCAGGAAUGGGAGAAUCACACCCUAGGUUCACAGUGUAACUGCUGCUAAUCCUUCACAGUGAAAUCAGUGGUACGCUUCUAGUUUAUGUUCCCCCAGAAAGGGGUAUUACCGUUUUGAUGACGUGACUGAUUAAUUCUAGAACACAUCCAGUCUAGACUAUGUUAAGAAUCAUUCUAGAACACAUCCAGUCUAGGCCAGGUUUAGAAUCAUUCUAGAACACAUCCAGUCUAGGCCAGGUUUAGAAUCAUUCUAGGACACAUUCAGUCUAGACCAGGUUGAGAGCAUUCUAGAACACAUCCAGGCUAGACCAGGUUGAGAAUCAUUCUAUAGAACACAUCC